rnacentral:rRNA from 1 species
AUUGAACGCUGGCGGCAUGCCUAACACAUGCAAGUCGAACGGCAGCAUGGCCCCGUACUUGUUACGGGGUUGAUGGCGAGUGGCGCACGGGUGAGUAAUGCGUAUGAAUAUACCUUAAAGUGGGGGAUAACCUGGGGAAACCCAGGCUAAUACCGCAUGAGCUCUAAGGAGGAAAGCUGGGGACCUGAAAGGGCCUGGUGCUUUAAGAUUAGCCUACGUCCGAUUAGCUUGUUGGUGGGGUAAAGGCUUACCAAGGCGACGAUCGGUAGCUGGUCUGAGAGGAGGAUCAGCCACACUGGGACUGAGACACGGCCCAGACUCCUACGGGAGGCAGCAGUGGGGAAUAUUGGACAAUGGGGGGCAACCCUGAUCCAGCGAUGCCGCGUGUGUGAAGAAGGCCUGCGGGUUGUAAAGCACUUUCGGUGGGGAGGAGGAGUGACAGGUUAAGAGCUAGUCACUUGGACGUUACCCACAUAAGAAGCACCGGCUAACUCCGUGCCAGCCGCCGCCGUAA